GCCUGGGUAGCUCAGUGGUAGAGCGCAAGACUGAAAAUCUUGGCGUCGGCAGUCCGAUUCUGCCCCCAGGCA
rnacentral:tRNA from 1 species